GCCCAUCCAGGGCACCAGUCAGCGAGCACCCGGGCGGGGGAGGCCCCAUAGCUGCCUCAGGGAGGGAGGAGGAGAAGAUGACCAUCUGAGAAGUUCCACAACCGACUGCGCAGACUCCGGGCAUGCGCAGUAGCAGGCUACGGAAAUAGCGGAACGCAACAGCUGAUCAUCAGCAGUUAAGUGGAACAAAUACCAUAGCUGGAACAAGCUCGGCAGAUCACCGGCAAGCUGUACGAAUGCUCAACGACCGCAGUGCCUGUACUUGCCACAAGAUGGUGAUCUCGCUUAUUACGAUCGGACGUACACAGCAAGUCUCUAUGAUACCUACAGACAGGAAGUGAUGUCACGUAUAAAUAAGUUCCCGGUGAGAGGGAGGAAUUAGAGAGGAGACGUUGUUGGAACAUACGAGGAGGCAAUAGGAUAUUAUCUUCUAUGUAUCCAUCAGCACGGGGAGCCGAUAUACUCAGCGUCAGGAACGUGGAAACAAUAGAAAGAAGACUCAUCUGAAUCUGCCCUAUGAAGGCCACCAUGUGACAUCACUACGUACGUAGCGCCUCACCAGGACAUGUCCACCAUCUGACACACUUACCAAUCAAGUCGUGCUUCAGGGUUCCUGGUCAUCCAGUUCAUGACCCGUCUACGAAAAGCAAUGUCCUGUAAAGAUCACAUGACCACCUCAAUGAGGAUGGAGGAGAACCGGAGUCAGAGCCUGGAGAAGAUAUUACACUUCACCCUGGAGAUCAUCUACCUGCUGACCGGAGAGAGUUUUCCUCUUGUGAAGUUUGAAGAUCAUAUGACCAUCAAAGUGCCUCAAUAUCGCUCCCUAAAAUGUAGGGACCAGAACAGACAAAAGAUUUGUCACAUUAUCAGAAAGAUGUCUGAGCUGCUGACAGGAGAGGUUCCUAUAAGGUGUCAGGAUGUCACUGUCUAUUUCUCCAUG